rnacentral:lncRNA from 1 species
GAUGACCUUUGUUUGUUUAAACUGUUGGAAAAUCAAUAUUUAAAAUGAAAUCUAGAAACUGAAGUGUGCCCUCUGCAGGAUCACCAGAAUGAUGGGAAAACUGAACACAAUCAACUCAUGAACUCCCCAAGGUGCUUUUUUUUCUGAAGCUUUGGUAGUGUAACUGUAAGAGUCCUGGAAUUGGAAAAGCAAAUCCAGAAGUUGAGUUCCAUGACUUUUUUGCUGUUUGCCUUUGGACUUGCAUCAUUUAUAUUUUUAAUUCAUCGAGGAUGAGAAAAUUGAUUAACACAAAAUCUUUUCAUGUCUUUUCUGAUGAGAGACUAGCUGAAUCCAAGAAGAGAAGCCCUUGAAGAGUGUAUUCUAUUCUAGACAAGCAUUCACACAUUGGCUUCUUUGGUGCCAGGUAAUUAGAAUUUGUAAUUUGGUCUUAAUUAAACUGCAGACUACCCAAAGGCCUUGAUCAGUGGCCUUUUGACUGCCUCCACCGUUUGGAGGAAACAAACAAAACACAAAUUAGCCUUUAAAAAUAUGCCCAUUGAUUUCUCCUCAUCUCCCCAAACAUAUACAACCCCACCAGAUAUAUAUUUAUAUUGGCUAUAAAAAUAUGCCCAUUGAUUUCUCCUCAUCUCCCCAAACAUAUACAACCCCACCAGAUAUAUAUUUAUAUUGGGUAUAAUGUCAACAUAUAUCAAAUGUGCCAAUUAAACACAGAGCUCCUCUAAA